rfam:Bacillus glycinifermentans strain GO-13 contig_15, whole genome shotgun sequence.
AUUAUAAUGAUAGCGCCCGGACUAAGCGUACGGACGAAACAGCUUAGUUGACGAGGAUGGAGGUUAUCGAAAUAUUCGGCGGAUGCCUCCCGGCUGACCUAAAAGAUCACAGCCGCAAGGAUUUCCUCAAACCAAAGAGGCGACUCUUUGAACAAAGGGAAAUCGCAUGAUCUU